UAAAAAACAAUGACAGGGAAUAGUAAAAAAGCUCCCUUGCCCCCAGAAAACAGGCGGUUGAUGUGAGCCUCGGCAAGCCUUUUUGAACCUGCCCCUUGAGUUCCGCAGGGAAAAUGCGGCGUAGCUCGGCGUUAACGGCUUUCGAGAGGAUGAAUUAUCAUCAAUGAGGGUGGCACCGCCGAAUGACCUUGGUCCCUUUU
rnacentral:ncRNA from 1 species